UACGGAGGGUGCAAGCGUUAUCCGGAUUCACUGGGUUUAAAGGGUGCGUAGGCGGGUAGGUAAGUCAGUGGUGAAAUCCUAGAGCUCAACUCUAGAACUGCCAUUGAUACUAUUUAUCUUGAAUAUUGUGGAGGUAAGCGGAAUAUGUCAUGUAGCGGUGAAAUGCUUAGAUAUGACAUAGAACACCUAUUGCGAAGGCAGCUUACUACGCAUAUAUUGACGCUGAGGCACGAAAGCGUGGGGAUCAAACAG
rnacentral:rRNA from 1 species